rnacentral:rRNA from 1 species
UACGGAGGGGGCGAGCGUUAUUCGGAAUUAUUGGGCGUAAAGGGCGCGUAGGCGGCCCGGUAAGUCAAAGGUGAAAUCCCUCGGCUCAACUAAGGAACUGCCUUUGAAACUGUCGGGCUUGAGGCCGGGAGGGGGUAGCGGAAUUCCCAGUGUAGCGGUGAAAUGCGUAGAUAUUGGGAGGAACACCAGUGGCGAAGGCGGCUACCUGGACCGGUUCUGACGCUGAUGCGCGAAAGCGUGGGUAGCAAACAGG